GGUGCCUGCAAUCCCUUUCAUACAAUAAAUGAAGACAUUUGAUAGCAGAAUCUGUCAGAGGUCUACUUUUAGGACCAGUACUGUGCGAAAUUGUAUUAUAAACCAAUGUAUUCAGCACCGACACAAUUUUCUGCUGCUGCUCCAAUGUAAAGGGGACCUGUUUCUCAUAAAACUCUAGGUCAUCAAGAACUAACAACAGGUGUGAAUAACUAGCGCAAAACAGAUGUAGUAGACAAGACAAAUCUUUUGAUAGGCCAUCAGGACCCUGCCUUAGCAAUUCAAUGUCCCACAUAUCAGAAUAAUGCUUGUCAAUGUGCACUGCUUUUGAUUUUCCAUCAACCGGAUCCACACUUCUGAACUCAGUUUGUG
rnacentral:misc_RNA from 1 species